rnacentral:ncRNA from 2 species
GGUGAACGACAGGGGAGCGUCGUCCGGCACGCCGGGCACCAGGACGCUGAGAGUGCGGACCUCCGCAGACCCUCGAACCUGAUCCGGUUCACACCGGCGUAGGGAGUCGGGAUUCUCGGGCC